GGCAUAAUUGUAGUGAUUAUAGUUAAUAAUAAUUCAUCUUAUAUAUGGUUAAGCAUGCAUGUCUCACUGUGUAGACGCUAUUCUCCUGACCCGGAGUGUAUGUGUGUAUAUGUGUGUCUACUUACAGACUUUUAAACAGCUGUUGGUGUCGUUGGGCCCAAUUUCACGUUCUAACUGUUAAAUAAAUGUAGAAAUAUGCAAAAUAACAAAGAAGCGUUAUGAAGAGGUAUUUUACCAAUACCCUUCCAUGGACACAAUGAGACCGAUGAUGCACCCUUUUAGAAUCUAUUAUUAACUACGCAUAAAUUUCAUGUUUUUCUUCUUCUAUUUCUAAGUUAAUGUCUAGG
rnacentral:lncRNA from 1 species